CAGUUGCAACAGGUCUCGUUGUACUGCAGGAACCCGCUUUCCGUGAACACAUGUGCCUCGCGCUUGCAUGUUUAUCGUGUUGAUGGAUAUUGUGUGCGUUUAUUGUGUGCUUAUCGUACUCGACAUUCGUCGACGGGGCAUUUUCCGUGUGUUGAGGCGUUCUCCUGCCUUAAUCCAGUGGCGGAUGAUGGUCGUCGUUCGUUGCCGCUCAACACAGCCUCAUGGGACGCGCAGCUUUGUGUCCGCGCUCAAAAGUGCUUUCUUGCUUUGUUCAUCGAUUACUCACGUUCAUCGAGUGAUUCAAUAUCGAGUGUACUUCCGAAGACGAUCCGCGUCCUAGUGUUUGGACAAGCGGCGACUGCGGAUCCACAGGAGGGGAAGCGUGAGCCUUUUGACGAGCGACUAUGAAGAGUGCACAGCCAAUGCCAAACUUGGGAACCGGCGUGUUGGCAUAGCGAGGAUGAUCAACCAGAUACCCGAUAGGCAGCGAUGAGAGAGAGCUGUUCGUGGCACCGACACAGAGGACAGGUUGCAGUACAAGAUAGGAGCAUACUUCCUGCAAGCCCGGGCAAGCCAUAAUGAGUGGUUUCAAAUACAGCAACUGUACCACCACAACAAUGCAGCACAGGAGAUCCUAUCGUCAGUGCCGCGUCGAGAAAUUAAAUAAAAAAGCGCUUACUCCUGGAAACUUCUCGUAUCGUCAUAUUUGUUUGUUUGUGAUUAUAGAACUGCACUUUCAUGGGAAUUGAAUGAACUAGCCCCAUUUAUUGUCCCAUUAAAACUGAAUAAAUUGACAAUGUAGAGCUUGUUUCCAAAUGCCUGCAUCAUAGGCCUACAAGAUUGCUUAUUGGCUUCAAAAUACUCUUACAUGUAAAGAACGCUGUUGAUAUAGUCAUUGCUGGAAAUGGUCUGCUAAUAUUUUUGUUACGAACCUCUAAAGCGUACACACUUUUGUAUUGUUAACCACAAAAAGAUUUAUUAACUGUGUGCAGCAAACAUGCUGUUGCAGGCAUAAGGCUGCAAUACGCUGAAACUC